GACGUAGGGCGCGAGCGUUGUCCGGAUUUAUUGGGCGUAAAGAGCUCGUAGGCGGCUUGUCGCGUCGGCUGUGAAAACCCGCGGCUCAACUGUGGGCGGGCAGCUGAUACGGGCAGGCUGGAGUUCGGUAGGGGAGACUGGAAUUCCUGGUGUAGCGGUGAAAUGCGCAGAUAUCAGGAGGAACACCGGUGGCGAAGGCGGCAUCCUGGACCAAUACUGACGCUGAGACGCGAAAGCGUGGGGAGCGAACAGG
rnacentral:rRNA from 1 species